CGCCCGCCAGCGCCACCCACCGGCCAGCCGCCGCGCGGGAUCGCAAAACGUCCUUUAAUACUUGACGCCUAUCUCUAAGGUUUGUUGGAUUGGUGUUGGCUUUUUAGACCAUGUAAUCCAAGAACAAGAUAACCUUAUAAGAUGGCUAGCAUCAUGCUGACCUCUGAGACUAUAUACAUGGGAUAGUGACUAGAUUGAAUGCAGAAACAGCCAGAGUACAAAGAGCCUGCAAAGUCUUACUGGCAAGAGAAAACAUGCUUUAACAUGGAUAGAUUUAUUGCUUUGGGGUGUCUUCAAUGACUAUACUAAUGAAUUCUUCAUUUAUUCUUUUUCUCACAAAUUUUUAUUAAGUGUCAACUCUCUAUUAGACACUGUAUUG